UCACAUGUUUUGUUUUUGUCGACUGCCCACCAAGCAGCAGGAAGAUGCACUUUGAGCCCUGCACAGACCAAAAAAGCAUUUUACAAAAUUUCUUAUUUUAUUCACACUGUAGUUGUCUUUGAGUGAAUACAACAUGGAAAAAGAAAACCUAUCCGUGGUGUUGCAUUCCCAGGGCGACCUCAGACUGGAACAACGACCCAUCCCUGAACCAGGUCCAAAUGAGGUGUUGCUUCAGAUGCAUUCAGUUGGGAUCUGUGGGUCAGAUGUGCACUACUCGGCUAAAUGGACGCAUAGGUGA